CUGGAGGAAAAAAGCGGCGCCACGUGAUAGGGGCAUCGGUCGAAGCGCCGGCGGACGCCGGGCAAAGCGGGUGGCGGAGGUCAACAGUUGUGGGCGAUAUGUGACGUCGGGCGCUAAAACGGCGUCGUUCUGUACCGAGCAGAGUAAAAGAGAAAGGAACGACGUCGUUUUUCAAUUAGCGGAAUAAAA